rnacentral:rRNA from 1 species
AAACUUAAAUGAAUUGACGGGACCCGCACAAGCAGCGGAGCGUGUGGUUUAAUUCGUUGCUACACGAAGAACUUACCUGGGUUUGACAUAUAGGUUGUAGGGAACUGAAAAGGGACCGACCCUUCGGGGAGCCUAUACAGGUGUUGCAUGGCUGUCGUCAGCUCGUGUCGUGAGAUGUUCGGUUAAGUCCGCUAACGAGCGCAACCCUCGUCGUAUGUUAUAUGUGUCAUACGAGACUGCCGGUAAAAAGCCGGAGGAAGGUGAGGAUGAUGUCAAGUCAGCAUGACCUUUAUAUCCAGGGCUACACACACGCUACAAUGGUCUGUACAAUGGGUAGCCAAGCCGCGAGGCGGAGCCAAUCCUGAAAGCAGGCCUCAGUUCAGAUUGCAGUCUGCAACUCGACUGCAUGAAGCCGGAGUUGCUAGUAACCGCAGGUCAGCAAUACUGCGGUGAAUACGUUCCCGGGUCUU